UGUAGCUGCAAGUGCGUCUCUGAGAUGACCAACUGCUCGAACGACAAGGUCUGGGACGAGAAACAGUGCGCGUGCGCGUGCAAGAAGGAGAAGACGUGUCGGGAGGGCAGGAACUUCGACUCGAACUCCUGCAGAUGUCGGAGAACUUGACUGACUUCGAACUGCCACCGAUCUGCCCCGCUGAAGGAGUCGGCGAAGAGAAAGACGAGUUCGUUUUGAGUUUGAUUGCAACGUAGAAGAUAUAUUAGAGAGCACUGUAAAUAUGUUAUUGUCAUGAAAACUGUGAUUUUUUAAAGAUCUCUCGCUCUAUCCCUCC